CGAAAGAUGGGCUCGGUAUCACUGAGAUAGACGAGAAAUUCACCAGGAAUCUCAGCAACUUUUGUUUUCAUAAUUCAUACAGUCCAAAUGCCGGAGCACAAAACAACACAGGCAACGUGGAUGUUUUAAUGCAUUGAACAGUAUACGAAUAUAAACCAAAGAACGUUUUUUUCAGUUAACUUUCCCAAUUUGUGUUUUUAAUGAAACCAUACAAUUGACAGGAGGUUAAACUAUAGAUUGUCCAAUAUUAUUUGAAGUGAUUUGUGUGCACAUGGCUUUCACCGUUUAGCUUUGAUAUUCAUUCAAAUGUGUAAAAACAUACUGUAGCAGUAACACUGAAACCGCCCGUUGUAGGUGGAUGCCACUUAGAUGUUGAGGUAGAAACAUAGGUCCCCGAGUUUUGCCUUAUUUUCAGAUUUCACUCGGGAUGUGAAACACCUUGAUUAAGAUGAUCAAAUGAAUACUUCAUUGCCAGUGAAGGGGAAUGCGACGGUUUCCUUUUGCAGUUCAAGUGGUAGUAAGCAAGGACCAUUCGGCAGUGCGGAAUGUCCGUCCGCACCGGGUCCAGCCCCCCACUCUUCAAUGCGUGGUCCACUGCCCGACCCAAAGGCAAGGGGAACACGGUCAGCCAGCUCGUGUCUGAGAGACCCGAAGGCAAGGGGAAUGCGAGCAGGAACUCGCUCGUGUCGGGGAGAGAUAUCACGAGAUAGGAGAGAAAUUCACUCGGUGUCUCAUGAGUCUUUCAGCCACUGAUCAACAAGCGACCAACUUUUGUUUUGAUAGUAAGUGCAGUCCGAAUGUCGGAGGACAAAAUAACACAGACAAAGUGGAUUCAUGUUUUUCUUUUAUUAGAUAAUAGACUAUUCCAAUAUACACCAAAGAACAUAAGCACAUUUUUUUAAAGCCAUUUCACCAAUUUGUGUGUUUAAUGAAAUCAAACAAAAGACAAGAGGUUAAACAAUAGAUUGUCCUAUUUCAUUAGAAAAUAUUUGUGGCCACAUAGCAUACUCUAUUUACAAGUGACAAAAAUGUCCAUAUGUAAAAACGUAUUGUUGCAGUAAGGUUCAACCCAUCCGUUGUUGAAAACCACUGUAAUGUUGAGAUUAAAGUCUAUGUUCCCAAAUAAUAUCCUCUUCUCAUAUUUGACUCGGCGCUGGAGUCCUCCUUGUUAACGUUCAAGUUUUCCAAUAUACACCAAAGAACAUAAGCACAUUUUUUUUAAAGCCAUUUCACCAAUUUGUGUGUUUAAUGAAAUCAAACAAAAGACAAGAGGUUAAACAAUAGAUUGUCCUAUUUCAUUAGAAAAUAUUUGUGGCCACAUAGCAUACUCUAUUUACAAGUGACAAAAAUGUCCAUAUGUAAAAACGUAUUGUUGCAGUAAGGUUCAACCCAUCCGUUGUUGAAAACCACUGUAAUGUUGAGAUUAAAGUCUAUGUCCCCAAAUAAUAUCCUCUUCUCAUAUUUGACUCGGCGCUGGAGUCCUCCUUGUUGAAGUUUUACGAACUGAUGGUUGAAUUCGAACCCAACGUCACGUGGACCACAGAAGGUGGGUGUUUCCUUCUCUGCUGGCGAGGUAGAAUACAAGGGAGAGUCCGCUUCGUUGAAACAUGCAGCAAGGAGAAGUGCGAUGAUAGAAAUCCACUUCAUUGUGCCGGUUGGUAGGCUUGGCUUCAAAUCUUCUCUCCUGGUUGCUGGUAAACGCGAUGAACUGGUUGUUCUUUUCUCGGAUGAAGGUUUUCCGAUGAAGGUUUUCCGAUGGAGUUUAUGAAUAUAUUUUUCGAAGUCCAGUAUGUCAAAACAAUGUCUAAGAUCGAUGUCGAUUGUCCUUUCUGUGGAUAUAGCUGAUCCUUUCCUCACACUUCUCCGCAGGACUUCAACUUGAGUUUAUGUAUAUAUUUUUCGGUUUCCAGUGUUUGUAAUGUCGAUUGUCCAACCGCGGUCCUUUUCGCCGAAGACUCGGAAGGUUUUCGGUUGGCGUUUAUGUUAGAGAGUUGUCGAUUUUCCUAGCUCUGUAUACAGCCUACCGGUCCUUUCCUCAGACUUCUCCGCAGGACUUCAACUUGAGUUUAUGAAUAUAUUUUUCGAUUUACAGUAUGUAAAAACAAUGUUUAGGAGAGAUGUCGAUUGACCUAGCUCUGUAUACAGACUACCUGUCCUUUCCUCAGACUUCUCCGGAGCACUUCAACGUACGUUUUUUAAUAUGUAUUUUCUUCGAUUUCAAGUAUGUAAAAACGAUUUCAAAGAUAUCUGUCGAUUGUCCUAGCUCUGUAUAGUCUACGGUCCUCUCCAUGGCCCUGACCACUAUAGAGACUUUUUCAUGAAAUCGUGUUGUUUUUUCACACGAACCUCUGGAGUCGACAGAACAAUGAUAUAUACCAUGUAAUCAGUUGUAUAUGGAUUUUGUGUUAAUUGAUGAAACGUCAAACCAGGUUACCUGAGUCUAAGGCCUCAUAUUAUUAUUCUAAUUAGUCUAUUUGUCUUUGAUUCUUUUACAUUUGAUCUCCAAGAGAGACUGCUGAACAAUAAAGUACACAGUUCGGACUUCUGUGUGUGUGCGUCAAGGACGGCGGGUGCAUUUUUUAUCUGUAGCCUACUCUUGCUCCGGCUCCACUAUUAUCCCUAUGUUCAGUGCAGUGAGUGGUGGUUGUUUUAAUUUAAUAUAAAGGACAGAUGGACCUAUGGUUAGUUUCAAGUCUCGAUUUUCAAAGUUUAUUCAGCAAAUGCAUCGAAUAACACAGCGUCAUCCUGAACAAUGAAAUUCUUGUGACAUGGCCCACCGAAAGUAAGAACUUCCGAAAUAUGUCAAGUAAAAAUAUUGUUCGUGACUCUUGGAAGAGUUUGAUAAAUCACACCCCCCAUCGAUUCACUGUACCAAUCACAUAACGCCACCCAUCAGACCACCAAUCACAUCACGCCACCCAAUAUUUACCAUCAGUGGCUUGGGGACGGACCCAAAGUGAUGUGAAACAAGGUGAAUGCGAGCAGGAACUCGCUCGUGUCGGGGAGAGAUAUCACGAGAUAGGAGGGAAAUUCACUCGGUGUCUCAUGAGUCUUUCAGCCACUGAUCAACAAGCGACCAACUUUUGUUUUGAUAGUAAGUGCAGUCCGAAUGUCGGAGGACAAAAUAACACAGACAAGGUGGAUUCAUGUUUUUCCUUUAUUAGAUAGACUAUUCCAAUAUACACCAAAGAACAUAAGCACAUUUUUUAAAGUAAUUUCCCCAAUUUGUGUGUUUAAUGAAAUCAAACAAAAGACAAGAGGUUAAACAAUAGAUUGUCCUAUUUCAUUAGAAAAUAUUUGUGGCCACAUAGCUUACUCUAUUUACAAGUGACAAAAAUGUCCAUAUGUAAAAACGUAUUGUUGCAGUAAGGUUCAACCCAUCCGUUGUUGAAAACCACUGUAAUGUUGAGAUUAAAGUCUAUGUCCCCAAAUAAUAUCCUCUUCUCAUAUUUGACUCGGCGCUGGAGUCCUCCUUGUUCAAGUUUAACGAAUUGAUGGUUGAAUUCGAACCCAACGUCACGUGAACCAUAGAAGGUGGGUGUUUCCUUCUCUGCUGGCGAGGUAGAAUUCAAGGGAGAGUCGGCUUCGUUGAAACAUACAGCAAGGAAAAGUGCGAUGAUAGAAAUCCACUUCAUUGUGCCGGUUGUUAGGCUUGGCUUCAGAUCUUGUCUCUAUAGUGGUCAGGGCCAUGGAGAGGACCGUAGACUAUACAGCGCUAGGACAAUCGACAGAUAUCUUUGAAAUCGUUUUUACAUACUUGAAAUCGAAGAAUAUACAUAUUAAAAAACUUCCCUAAACUUGGUGGAAGUUUAGGGAAGGGCCCGUCCAGAGAUUGGCAUAAUGGGAAGGCCUAAUAUCACCGUAUAACCAUACUAUAUAAACGUGUGUUUCCGAUGCUUGGGAGCCAGUUGUUCUCCAGACCAACAUGGGUUGUUACUCUGCAGACAUGUGUUGCUUUAUGACCUUAAUAAAGUCAACUUUUGAAUUCACAUACUCCUGAGUCUUUUCAGCUUUUUGGCUGGAAAAGGGUAACAUUUUCCACAGCACCAGGUAUUUCUAGUGCGAGAUAUUGUCAUGCUCUCUCUGUGGUCAUAUUUAUGCACUGUAGUUGCUCCCACAAUUUAAAAGGUAGACGAGGUUUAGGUUAAUGGAACAGGUGUGACUAGGCCAGAAAGACAGAUGAAGUAUUUGACAGGCAACCAAUGGGACGAAGCACGGAGAGAGCAGAUGACUGGAAUAUGAGAGACUGUUGCGUUUAAACUGGCCUCAGCUGAAGAGUUUCCAGUCUGCACCGCUCCGCACAACCGCGUCCAGCUGCCCACGAUCUCCAAUGCGUAAUCCACUGCUUGGCACCGACCCCCGAUGUCCGUCCGCACCGCGUCCAGCCCCCCACUCUCCUAUGCAUGGUCUACUGCCCGGAACCGACCCCCGAUGUCCGUCCGCACCGCGUCCAGCCGCCCACUCUCCACUUCCAACCUGAGUGUGAGAGCAGCGACCCUGAAUGGCGAAAGAUGGGCUCGGUAUCACUGAGAUAGACGAGAAAUUCACCAGGAAUCUCAGCAACUUUUGUUUUCAUAAUUCAUACAGUCCAAAUGCCGGAGCACAAAACAACACAGGCAACGUGGAUGUUUUAAUGCAUUGAACAGUAUACGAAUAUAAACCAAAGAACGUUUUUUUCAGUUAACUUUCCCAAUUUGUGUUUUUAAUGAAACCAUACAAUUGACAGGAGGUUAAACUAUAGAUUGUCCAAUAUUAUUUGAAGUGAUUUGUGUGCACAUGGCUUUCACCGUUUAGCUUUGAUAUUCAUUCAAAUGUGUAAAAACAUACUGUAGCAGUAACACUGAAACCGCCCGUUGUAGGUGGAUGCCACUUAGAUGUUGAGGUAGAAACAUAGGUCCCCGAGUUUUGCCUUAUUUUCAGAUUUCACUCGGGAUGUGAAACACCUUGAUUAAGAUGAUCAAAUGAAUACUUCAUUGCCAGUGAAGGGGAAUGCGACGGUUUCCUUUUGCAGUUCAAGUGGUAGUAAGCAAGGACCAUUCGGCAGUGCGGAAUGUCCGUCCGCACCGGGUCCAGCCCCCCACUCUUCAAUGCGUGGUCCACUGCCCGACCCAAAGGCAAGGGGAACACGGUCAGCCAGCUCGUGUCUGAGAGACCCGAAGGCAAGGGGAAUGCGAGCAGGAACUCGCUCGUGUCGGGGAGAGAUAUCACGAGAUAGGAGAGAAAUUCACUCGGUGUCUCAUGAGUCUUUCAGCCACUGAUCAACAAGCGACCAACUUUUGUUUUGAUAGUAAGUGCAGUCCGAAUGUCGGAGGACAAAAUAACACAGACAAAGUGGAUUCAUGUUUUUCUUUUAUUAGAUAAUAGACUAUUCCAAUAUACACCAAAGAACAUAAGCACAUUUUUUUAAAGCCAUUUCACCAAUUUGUGUGUUUAAUGAAAUCAAACAAAAGACAAGAGGUUAAACAAUAGAUUGUCCUAUUUCAUUAGAAAAUAUUUGUGGCCACAUAGCAUACUCUAUUUACAAGUGACAAAAAUGUCCAUAUGUAAAAACGUAUUGUUGCAGUAAGGUUCAACCCAUCCGUUGUUGAAAACCACUGUAAUGUUGAGAUUAAAGUCUAUGUUCCCAAAUAAUAUCCUCUUCUCAUAUUUGACUCGGCGCUGGAGUCCUCCUUGUUAACGUUCAAGUUUUCCAAUAUACACCAAAGAACAUAAGCACAUUUUUUUUAAAGCCAUUUCACCAAUUUGUGUGUUUAAUGAAAUCAAACAAAAGACAAGAGGUUAAACAAUAGAUUGUCCUAUUUCAUUAGAAAAUAUUUGUGGCCACAUAGCAUACUCUAUUUACAAGUGACAAAAAUGUCCAUAUGUAAAAACGUAUUGUUGCAGUAAGGUUCAACCCAUCCGUUGUUGAAAACCACUGUAAUGUUGAGAUUAAAGUCUAUGUCCCCAAAUAAUAUCCUCUUCUCAUAUUUGACUCGGCGCUGGAGUCCUCCUUGUUGAAGUUUUACGAACUGAUGGUUGAAUUCGAACCCAACGUCACGUGGACCACAGAAGAAACUGGCCUCAGCUGAAGAGUUUCCAGUCUGCACCGCUCCGCACAACCGCGUCCAGCUGCCCACGAUCUCCAAUGCGUAAUCCACUGCUUGGCACCGACCCCCGAUGUCCGUCCGCACCGCGUCCAGCCCCCCACUCUCCUAUGCAUGGUCUACUGCCCGGAACCGACCCCCGAUGUCCGUCCGCACCGCGUCCAGCCGCCCACUCUCCACUUCCAACCUGAGUGUGAGAGCAGCGACCCUGAAUGGCGAAAGAUGGGCUCGGUAUCACUGAGAUAGACGAGAAAUUCACCAGGAAUCUCAGCAACUUUUGUUUUCAUAAUUCAUACAGUCCAAAUGCCGGAGCACAAAACAACACAGGCAACGUGGAUGUUUUAAUGCAUUGAACAGUAUACGAAUAUAAACCAAAGAACGUUUUUUUCAGUUAACUUUCCCAAUUUGUGUUUUUAAUGAAACCAUACAAUUGACAGGAGGUUAAACUAUAGAUUGUCCAAUAUUAUUUGAAGUGAUUUGUGUGCACAUGGCUUUCACCGUUUAGCUUUGAUAUUCAUUCAAAUGUGUAAAAACAUACUGUAGCAGUAACACUGAAACCGCCCGUUGUAGGUGGAUGCCACUUAGAUGUUGAGGUAGAAACAUAGGUCCCCGAGUUUUGCCUUAUUUUCAGAUUUCACUCGGGAUGUGAAACACCUUGAUUAAGAUGAUCAAAUGAAUACUUCAUUGCCAGUGAAGGGGAAUGCGACGGUUUCCUUUUGCAGUUCAAGUGGUAGUAAGCAAGGACCAUUCGGCAGUGCGGAAUGUCCGUCCGCACCGGGUCCAGCCCCCCACUCUUCAAUGCGUGGUCCACUGCCCGACCCAAAGGCAAGGGGAACACGGUCAGCCAGCUCGUGUCUGAGAGACCCGAAGGCAAGGGGAAUGCGAGCAGGAACUCGCUCGUGUCGGGGAGAGAUAUCACGAGAUAGGAGAGAAAUUCACUCGGUGUCUCAUGAGUCUUUCAGCCACUGAUCAACAAGCGACCAACUUUUGUUUUGAUAGUAAGUGCAGUCCGAAUGUCGGAGGACAAAAUAACACAGACAAAGUGGAUUCAUGUUUUUCUUUUAUUAGAUAAUAGACUAUUCCAAUAUACACCAAAGAACAUAAGCACAUUUUUUUAAAGCCAUUUCACCAAUUUGUGUGUUUAAUGAAAUCAAACAAAAGACAAGAGGUUAAACAAUAGAUUGUCCUAUUUCAUUAGAAAAUAUUUGUGGCCACAUAGCAUACUCUAUUUACAAGUGACAAAAAUGUCCAUAUGUAAAAACGUAUUGUUGCAGUAAGGUUCAACCCAUCCGUUGUUGAAAACCACUGUAAUGUUGAGAUUAAAGUCUAUGUUCCCAAAUAAUAUCCUCUUCUCAUAUUUGACUCGGCGCUGGAGUCCUCCUUGUUAACGUUCAAGUUUUCCAAUAUACACCAAAGAACAUAAGCACAUUUUUUUUAAAGCCAUUUCACCAAUUUGUGUGUUUAAUGAAAUCAAACAAAAGACAAGAGGUUAAACAAUAGAUUGUCCUAUUUCAUUAGAAAAUAUUUGUGGCCACAUAGCAUACUCUAUUUACAAGUGACAAAAAUGUCCAUAUGUAAAAACGUAUUGUUGCAGUAAGGUUCAACCCAUCCGUUGUUGAAAACCACUGUAAUGUUGAGAUUAAAGUCUAUGUCCCCAAAUAAUAUCCUCUUCUCAUAUUUGACUCGGCGCUGGAGUCCUCCUUGUUGAAGUUUUACGAACUGAUGGUUGAAUUCGAACCCAACGUCACGUGGACCACAGAAGGUGGGUGUUUCCUUCUCUGCUGGCGAGGUAGAAUACAAGGGAGAGUCCGCUUCGUUGAAACAUGCAGCAAGGAGAAGUGCGAUGAUAGAAAUCCACUUCAUUGUGCCGGUUGGUAGGCUUGGCUUCAAAUCUUCUCUCCUGGUUGCUGGUAAACGCGAUGAACUGGUUGUUCUUUUCUCGGAUGAAGGUUUUCCGAUGAAGGUUUUCCGAUGGAGUUUAUGAAUAUAUUUUUCGAAGUCCAGUAUGUCAAAACAAUGUCUAAGAUCGAUGUCGAUUGUCCUUUCUGUGGAUAUAGCUGAUCCUUUCCUCACACUUCUCCGCAGGACUUCAACUUGAGUUUAUGUAUAUAUUUUUCGGUUUCCAGUGUUUGUAAUGUCGAUUGUCCAACCGCGGUCCUUUUCGCCGAAGACUCGGAAGGUUUUCGGUUGGCGUUUAUGUUAGAGAGUUGUCGAUUUUCCUAGCUCUGUAUACAGCCUACCGGUCCUUUCCUCAGACUUCUCCGCAGGACUUCAACUUGAGUUUAUGAAUAUAUUUUUCGAUUUACAGUAUGUAAAAACAAUGUUUAGGAGAGAUGUCGAUUGACCUAGCUCUGUAUACAGACUACCUGUCCUUUCCUCAGACUUCUCCGGAGCACUUCAACGUACGUUUUUUAAUAUGUAUUUUCUUCGAUUUCAAGUAUGUAAAAACGAUUUCAAAGAUAUCUGUCGAUUGUCCUAGCUCUGUAUAGUCUACGGUCCUCUCCAUGGCCCUGACCACUAUAGAGACUUUUUCAUGAAAUCGUGUUGUUUUUUCACACGAACCUCUGGAGUCGACAGAACAAUGAUAUAUACCAUGUAAUCAGUUGUAUAUGGAUUUUGUGUUAAUUGAUGAAACGUCAAACCAGGUUACCUGAGUCUAAGGCCUCAUAUUAUUAUUCUAAUUAGUCUAUUUGUCUUUGAUUCUUUUACAUUUGAUCUCCAAGAGAGACUGCUGAACAAUAAAGUACACAGUUCGGACUUCUGUGUGUGUGCGUCAAGGACGGCGGGUGCAUUUUUUAUCUGUAGCCUACUCUUGCUCCGGCUCCACUAUUAUCCCUAUGUUCAGUGCAGUGAGUGGUGGUUGUUUUAAUUUAAUAUAAAGGACAGAUGGACCUAUGGUUAGUUUCAAGUCUCGAUUUUCAAAGUUUAUUCAGCAAAUGCAUCGAAUAACACAGCGUCAUCCUGAACAAUGAAAUUCUUGUGACAUGGCCCACCGAAAGUAAGAACUUCCGAAAUAUGUCAAGUAAAAAUAUUGUUCGUGACUCUUGGAAGAGUUUGAUAAAUCACACCCCCCAUCGAUUCACUGUACCAAUCACAUAACGCCACCCAUCAGACCACCAAUCACAUCACGCCACCCAAUAUUUACCAUCAGUGGCUUGGGGACGGACCCAAAGUGAUGUGAAACAAGGUGAAUGCGAGCAGGAACUCGCUCGUGUCGGGGAGAGAUAUCACGAGAUAGGAGGGAAAUUCACUCGGUGUCUCAUGAGUCUUUCAGCCACUGAUCAACAAGCGACCAACUUUUGUUUUGAUAGUAAGUGCAGUCCGAAUGUCGGAGGACAAAAUAACACAGACAAGGUGGAUUCAUGUUUUUCCUUUAUUAGAUAGACUAUUCCAAUAUACACCAAAGAACAUAAGCACAUUUUUUAAAGUAAUUUCCCCAAUUUGUGUGUUUAAUGAAAUCAAACAAAAGACAAGAGGUUAAACAAUAGAUUGUCCUAUUUCAUUAGAAAAUAUUUGUGGCCACAUAGCUUACUCUAUUUACAAGUGACAAAAAUGUCCAUAUGUAAAAACGUAUUGUUGCAGUAAGGUUCAACCCAUCCGUUGUUGAAAACCACUGUAAUGUUGAGAUUAAAGUCUAUGUCCCCAAAUAAUAUCCUCUUCUCAUAUUUGACUCGGCGCUGGAGUCCUCCUUGUUCAAGUUUAACGAAUUGAUGGUUGAAUUCGAACCCAACGUCACGUGAACCAUAGAAGGUGGGUGUUUCCUUCUCUGCUGGCGAGGUAGAAUUCAAGGGAGAGUCGGCUUCGUUGAAACAUACAGCAAGGAAAAGUGCGAUGAUAGAAAUCCACUUCAUUGUGCCGGUUGUUAGGCUUGGCUUCAGAUCUUGUCUCUAUAGUGGUCAGGGCCAUGGAGAGGACCGUAGACUAUACAGCGCUAGGACAAUCGACAGAUAUCUUUGAAAUCGUUUUUACAUACUUGAAAUCGAAGAAUAUACAUAUUAAAAAACUUCCCUAAACUUGGUGGAAGUUUAGGGAAGGGCCCGUCCAGAGAUUGGCAUAAUGGGAAGGCCUAAUAUCACCGUAUAACCAUACUAUAUAAACGUGUGUUUCCGAUGCUUGGGAGCCAGUUGUUCUCCAGACCAACAUGGGUUGUUACUCUGCAGACAUGUGUUGCUUUAUGACCUUAAUAAAGUCAACUUUUGAAUUCACAUACUCCUGAGUCUUUUCAGCUUUUUGGCUGGAAAAGGGUAACAUUUUCCACAGCACCAGGUAUUUCUAGUGCGAGAUAUUGUCAUGCUCUCUCUGUGGUCAUAUUUAUGCACUGUAGUUGCUCCCACAAUUUAAAAGGUAGACGAGGUUUAGGUUAAUGGAACAGGUGUGACUAGGCCAGAAAGACAGAUGAAGUAUUUGACAGGCAACCAAUGGGACGAAGCACGGAGAGAGCAGAUGACUGGAAUAUGAGAGACUGUUGCGUUUAAACUGGCCUCAGCUGAAGAGUUUCCAGUCUGCACCGCUCCGCACAACCGCGUCCAGCUGCCCACGAUCUCCAAUGCGUAAUCCACUGCUUGGCACCGACCCCCGAUGUCCGUCCGCACCGCGUCCAGCCCCCCACUCUCCUAUGCAUGGUCUACUGCCCGGAACCGACCCCCGAUGUCCGUCCGCACCGCGUCCAGCCGCCCACUCUCCACUUCCAACCUGAGUGUGAGAGCAGCGACCCUGAAUGGCGAAAGAUGGGCUCGGUAUCACUGAGAUAGACGAGAAAUUCACCAGGAAUCUCAGCAACUUUUGUUUUCAUAAUUCAUACAGUCCAAAUGCCGGAGCACAAAACAACACAGGCAACGUGGAUGUUUUAAUGCAUUGAACAGUAUACGAAUAUAAACCAAAGAACGUUUUUUUCAGUUAACUUUCCCAAUUUGUGUUUUUAAUGAAACCAUACAAUUGACAGGAGGUUAAACUAUAGAUUGUCCAAUAUUAUUUGAAGUGAUUUGUGUGCACAUGGCUUUCACCGUUUAGCUUUGAUAUUCAUUCAAAUGUGUAAAAACAUACUGUAGCAGUAACACUGAAACCGCCCGUUGUAGGUGGAUGCCACUUAGAUGUUGAGGUAGAAACAUAGGUCCCCGAGUUUUGCCUUAUUUUCAGAUUUCACUCGGGAUGUGAAACACCUUGAUUAAGAUGAUCAAAUGAAUACUUCAUUGCCAGUGAAGGGGAAUGCGACGGUUUCCUUUUGCAGUUCAAGUGGUAGUAAGCAAGGACCAUUCGGCAGUGCGGAAUGUCCGUCCGCACCGGGUCCAGCCCCCCACUCUUCAAUGCGUGGUCCACUGCCCGACCCAAAGGCAAGGGGAACACGGUCAGCCAGCUCGUGUCUGAGAGACCCGAAGGCAAGGGGAAUGCGAGCAGGAACUCGCUCGUGUCGGGGAGAGAUAUCACGAGAUAGGAGAGAAAUUCACUCGGUGUCUCAUGAGUCUUUCAGCCACUGAUCAACAAGCGACCAACUUUUGUUUUGAUAGUAAGUGCAGUCCGAAUGUCGGAGGACAAAAUAACACAGACAAAGUGGAUUCAUGUUUUUCUUUUAUUAGAUAAUAGACUAUUCCAAUAUACACCAAAGAACAUAAGCACAUUUUUUUAAAGCCAUUUCACCAAUUUGUGUGUUUAAUGAAAUCAAACAAAAGACAAGAGGUUAAACUAUAGAUUGUCCUAUUUCAUUAGGAAAUAUUUGUGGCCACAUAGCAUACUCUAUUUACAAGUGACAAAAAUGUCCAUAUGUAAAAACGUAUUGUUGCAGUAAGGUUCAACCCAUCCGUUGUUGAAAACCACUGUAAUGUUGAGAUUAAAGUCUAUGUCCCCAAAUAAUAUCCUCUUCUCAUAUUUGACUCGGCGCUGGAGUCCUCCUUGUUGAAGUUUUACGAACUGAUGGUUGAAUUCGAACCCAACGUCACGUGAACCACAGAAGGUGGGUGUUUCCUUCUCUGCUGGCGAGGUAGAAUACAAGGGAGAGUCCGCAUCGUUGAAACAUGCAGCAAGGAGAAGUGCGAUGAUAGAAAUCCACUUCAUUGUGCCGGUUGGUAGGCUUGGCUUCAAAUCUUCUCUCCUGGUUGCUGGUAAACGCGAUGAACUGGUUGUUCUUUUCUCGGAUGAAGCUUU